UUGAAAAGUUCUGUUAAAGAAGAUUUUAAUGUUACGGAGCUGGAAGGCAUCACGUUUGAAUUUACCAAGUUGGAAGUUACCAUUGUUUGUCUUGCAAUCCUGUUUCAUGAAUAAGAUUCCUCGUUAUGGAAGAUUUGAGUUCAGACUUCAUCCAGCUUGCUGUAGCAAAUAAAAUACGGUUUGGAACCAGCGGAGAAUUUGAGUAUGUCUCUUUUCAAGAAGGAUGAGGAUAGUUUUUGGAAGAAAACCAAACUGUUAAU